GUGUCCUCCUCCGUAGUCGGCUCCGGGUAGCUAAGCAGAAAGAACCUCGACACUGGCACCGAGACGCCGUCGGAGGCACACCCACACCCACACCGGAACGCAACAUCUCGCUGCCCGCGGCCUACGGGGAUUUAUCCGCAGCCCCCGGAUCUGAGAGCCGUCUGGGCCUUGGGGUUUCCGGGCGCGCCCCGACAACGUCACCCGCAGACCGGCCAAUCCCGCCAGGCCGCGGCCCAGUGGCGCCGGCGCACACCGAAGACGACACCAGCCAUCCGGCCAAUCCCGCCCCGCCGCGCCCCGCAGGCCCGCCCACUCCUCGCUUCUCCACUUCCCUUCUCGAAGUGUCCGGUCGCUUCUCGCAGGCGGCGCGCUUGCUGGGUCACAGUGAGGCGGCUCCGCGCAGGCGCAGCCGGGCGGGCGAGGAGCGGGGAAGCUGACUCAGGGCUGCGGCCGGGGUCCUGCGGGGUAGGAGCGCGAGGCCGGCCUGAGGGAGGAGGCCUAGCGACCCAUCCGGCGCCUCCCGCCCCGGGCACCCGCCCGCGGCCGCGCAUCCUGCGGGCCCCAGGAGGCCUCCAUCUCAAAACAACGUGUUUUUAGGGAAAAUGUCAGUGUCCCCAGCACCUAGAUCCCCCAGUUAAAUCCUUUUCCAUUUCACCGCGCUGCCCCCCGCCCCCUGGACGGUUAUGUGGCCGCGUGGAACUCAAGGGCUGUGAAAAGAGCAGGACCUCACCAGCUGCACGGCGGUGGUGACUGGCUCCAUCUUGCUGUCCCUCCCAAUCACACAACAUCUCCCCUUGAAGGCUCUGCCCAGGCCCGGACUCCCACCUUUCAAGAUGUCUGGAUCAGUGCAGGACCUCCUCCUUGGCCACAUCGCUCUCCUUGGACUGGUUCAAGUGAUUCUCCCACCUCAGCCUCCCAAGUAGGAUUACAGGGUUGACUCACCUGUGGAGUGGUCUGAGCCUGAAUGCCCGGGGCUGUGGCCACCGAGUGAACGGGCUGUGCUAAGGGGAAUUGCCACCUUGGGAAACCUGUGUAGUUGCGGCUUUUCUGAUUAAGUAUCAAUAAAAGUCUGACCUUGUGAAAAAAGCAAACGUGAGUGGCCCUGCUUAUGUUUCACCUUGCGUUGCUCAGUGAUAGUUCUGCAAAGUCGCAGGAAACCUGGAAUCAUCUAAUUAUCGUGAGUGUUGGUUCCUUAUUUAAUAAUGUCUAGUUGAUUCAUUAACAUGGAAUUCAUGGCCAGUACCUCUGUCACUCAUGCCUGACUGAAGUUGAUCAGCACGUCUUUUUCUCCCUUAGGCACAUGACAGCCUUCUUGCAAUCAAGAAACUACGUGUGGCCAGGAUCUCAUCCACUAUCACAGUUUCAGCUUUCCCCAAACUGGAAUGUGUCUUUGCAGACGCCCAUCCUUAUUAAAGGGCAAAGACUUCUCAUACACCUAGGAUGGAUCUUAUAUUCUUGGCGGGACUGCAGAGAAGGUGCCGUGUCCUGAGUCCUCAUGUCAGGGCACAGGCUUCCAGCCAGUUCUACCUGGGUUAUGUUUAUCUCAAUUCCCUGGUGGUAUUGGUGUCUGCUGGGUUUUGCCAGAAUGAAGACACCGUGUUUUCAUUUGUCAGUUGAUUCGUAUUUUCCAGGAAGACAUUCUGAGAUUACAGCAUUGUCUUAGUCAAGGUGCUGCAGAAGGACAGAACUAAUAGGAUAUAUGUACAUAUGAAAGAAAGUUUAUGAAGAACUGGCUCACACCAUCACAAGGCAAAGUCCCAUGACAGGCCAUCUGCAAGCUGAGGAGCGAGGAAGCCAGCAGUGGCUCAGCCGGAGUCCAACAGCCUCAAACGGAAUCCAACAGUUCAGGCUUCAGUCUGUGGCCAAAUGCCCAGAGACCCCGGAAAGCUACUGGUGUUAGUCCCAGAGCCGGAAGGCCAAAGAACCUGGAGUGUGAUGUCCAAGGGCAGGAGGAAUGGACAGAAGCAUCCAGCAUGGGGUAAAGACGAAAGCCAGAAGACUCAGCAAGCUAGCUUACCUACUUUCUUCUGCCUGCCUUGUUCUAGCCGCGCUGGCAGCCGGUUGGAGGGUGCCCACCCCCACUGAGGGUGGAUCUUCCUCUCCUAGUCCACUGACUCAAAUUUCAGUCUCUCUGGGAGCACCAUCACACCAGAAACAAUACCAGCCAUCUAGCCACCCUUCAGUUCACCAUCACAACCAUUGUCUUAUUCAUGAAACUUCUGCAGACCCACCUUAACCUCCAUCGGUGACUUCUACCUGAAGCCCUCUGAUUGUUGCCCAGUGGUGCUUUUUAAAAUAAUUUCCAUAGUUUCUUCUACACCUUUAGUUGGCAUUCUACUGUAAAGGAGAGAUUUUAUUUUCUUACUCAUUUAUUUGUUAGUUUAUAGUCACCACCAUAUGGAUGCAGAGUUCUGUCUCAUUCACUGGGAAGUAUUCUAUUGCAGUCAU
rnacentral:lncRNA from 10 species